rnacentral:rRNA from 1 species
AUACGUAUGGAGCAAGCGUUAUCCGGAUUUACUGGGUGUAAAGGGUGCGUAGGUGGCAGGGCAAGUCAGAUGUGAAAGACCGGGGCUCAACCCCGGGGCUGCAUUUGAAACUGCUUUGCUGGAGUGCAGGAGAGGCAGGCGGAAUUCCUAGUGUAGCGGUGAAAUGCGUAGAUAUUAGGAGGAACACCAGUGGCGAAGGCGGCCUGCUGGACUGAUACUGACACUGAGGCACGAAAGCGUGGGGAGC